GCCACUGUGGUGUAGUGGUUUGAACAUUGGAGUAUGAUUCUGGUGACCAGGGAUCGAAUCCCGGCUCGGCCA
rnacentral:tRNA from 1 species